AAAAACUAUAGAUCAAACCAUUAAGAUAGAUGUAUUUAGUUGGUUUAUUAAUAAACAUGACCCAUUAUAGGAUUUUAUGACAUCAUUUGAUUCAUGUAGUGAAAAAUAUUGUCUGCUGCUCUAGUUGCUCGGUUCAACAAUUAAUGUAUUCGCUUCUGUUAGCUUGAUUGUACUGCUUAAUAAUGAUCAGGUCUUCACACAUCUACUAGAAAAACUAUGCUAAAAUUUUGAUUCUUGAGUGGCAUGCUGAAAUGGCACUAUGCAUUCUCUUAAUUAUGGCACUAUGCUGAAACGGGGUUAUACAUUCUCUUAAUCACCAAGUCUAGCCAACUAAUUCCACGGUUCUGUUUAAGUAAGAAAGGGAAAACUCAUUUCACAAUCUGCAAGUCUUUUGAAUUGCUGGUAUCUAAGAACUACCAAGUGUGUGUGAUGGAUAUAUAGAUAGACUCAUGAUAUAUAAUUAUUCUUUCUCCCUUAAUGAAUUGAGUUAAGUUUGAGUUUUGAGUAAUGAGCUUUGUGAGGCCGUCUGCAACGUACAACUUUGUAUUUACAUAUCCUUAGUCACGAUGGAUGCCAUGUCAGAGUUGGGGGUUCCUUCGAUGGCCAGGUCUUCACGAAUUCUCAAGACUUCUUGUGGUUUUCCUUCUUUGGUCUACCUUCUCCCAAUUCUGUUACAUACCUUCUUUUAUGUACCCUACCCUUCGUGUUGGCUAUUGAAUUAUCGCCAAAAAGUUACAUGGUUUACACAUAACAUUCUGCUUUCCAUUUUUAUUAUAGCUACCUUUAUGCAUGAUCUUACAUUUAAAGAAUAUUCCAUAAUCAUAAAUUACAGGUCAAUGACAUGCAAUUUUAUAGUUUCCAAUUUCCCUUCUUGGCAUAAUGAUAUUGAUAGGUUGUGUCUAGACUUUUUAUAUUCAAAUAUAUUUUCACUUUUCUGCCUAGUUUACCAAUUCCAAACAUAAUGGAUUUUAAAAAUUUCAUUAUAGGGUCUUAUGACAUCAUUUGAUUCAUGUAGUUGGUUGCACGUAAUAAAAAACAUUGACUGUUGUUCUGUGUCGCUGCUGCUGCAUACUCCUGAAGAAGUUUUGAAAAUUUGAAUGAUGGGUUAAACAAUUAAUGUAUUUGCUUCUGUUAGCUUGAUUGUACUGCCUAAAAUAAGAAAAUAGUGAUCAGGUCUUCGUACAUUUUCCUAGGAAAACCAGGUAAAAAGUUUUCUUUCUUGAAUGAUAUGCAGAAUUGGCAUUUUGCAUUGUCUUAAUUAUGACAUUGUGUAUAACCCUUGACCAAUUUUUUGAAUGGACUUAAGUUCAUUGCAGGAUAAUCAUGCUAAAUAUAUCUUUCAUUUAUUGUUUAACUAAUAAUCCUAAUUAGAUGUAUGAUAGUUUAGUUUUUCCUUUAAUUAUUUUUACCGGGAAUCAGGUUUUCUGUAUAUGUUGAUAUAUAAUAUCAGCAAUCAUUAUACGGGGUUAUAUUAUAUACCCCAAAAAUAUACUACGCCUUAUAACUAACUAGCUUUAUGAAUUAUGAGAAUGAGCUACUUGGUUUACUUUAGUUAUGAUAACAUUUGUACUUUCUGUUACAUUGGUUAGUCCAACUUGUCUGAGUUACAAGAUUGAGAGUAUUACGGUAACUAAUGAAAAAUAUGUUUAGCUAUCCAAUUCAUUGCAAUUAUCUGCUCAAGAAUGUGAUCCCAUAAAAAUUAACUAAAAUUCUACAGGAUAUUGUGUUAUAAUAAAUUAGUUGUACUUAUACCUAUGGCAUUGAAGUGUCAAUUCUUAAGAAAAAUGUUGAGACGUUGCAUUGACGGGUGAUAUGGCCGAAGUAGUCCUUACCCCUUUCAAAGGUUGAACAAUUUGAGUCAACUUUUGGGAUUGAGUUAGACCUAGCUCAAGUUCUAAGAGAUAGAAACCAGGACUAUUGGGACAAAAGCUUAAAAAUGUUGUAGAUUGAUGACAUAAAAAAACGAUUUCUUUGAAUGUUACUUACAUAUUUCUGUAAAGAAACAGAUGAUUUUUAUCAAAAAAUAGAAAGAAAGAAAAUAGGAGAUGGGGAGUAUUAUUAUUUAUUUAUGGGGAGGCAUAGGCCAUGCAUUCGCUAGUGAGGAUUUGAAUUUUGUUCCUUUAGGUUACAAAAUAAGACAGUCACCAGUGCGCUAACAUCCACAGGUUUAAAAAGAGGUCCAAAUGGAAUAUUGUAACUUGCUUUGUCAGGGAUUUGCAUAAUUAACAGAAAUUGUUUGGUUAAGGCUUAUUGUUGUUGUUCUUGCUCAUUUAUCUAAGUAGCUAUGGUGAAACAACUUUUUGCAAUGAAACAAUUUUGAAACCUGAUGUGACACAAUCAUAUAUUUGUUACAUUAUUUUACAUGCUUAUUCAAUUUACCAUAUAUCCAAUUGCAUUCUGGUAAGAAACACUUUCAGAAAUAAGGUUAAUGGAUAUUUUCGGGCCUUGUAUGUAUUUUUUUCUACUUGUUUCAUCUCUUUUUAUGCUUUACUUGUUUACAUCCUCAGGCU
rnacentral:lncRNA from 1 species